UUGAGAGAAGUGUCUGGACACGGGAGCAGGGGAUACGGGGUCUGACACGGGGGGAGGCUGGAAACGCUGCCGUGCGUCGUUUUCUGGACAAGUCACGCGUCCUUUAAAAGCCACGGCCACAACGACACACGUCAAAUAAAGGUUCCUGGAACACAAACAUUUUUUUCUUUUGCUUUUUAUGACUGUAUGGACUGACAUCUCAGCUUCUUAACUCCCUGGUAGAGUUUAAAUGAAAUGCACACAUUCCACUAGUAUUUACGUUUUAAAUGUAUUUAUUUUGUGUCGUUAUGGCAGACCCCUUUAAUACAUCACACGCCUGCAGCUUCUUUCUGCAGCUGUAGACCCUCAGCGUCCUGUGAAGGUGUGUGUGAGUGCUUUCAGCUGGCAGCGCAGCACUAGAGGGCACUGCAGUGUUUCCCUGGCUCUGACCCCUGACUGGACACUGAGGAGACGGGUCUGGAUCCCCGUGAAAACCCUGGGCUCCACCACCAGGAGCCGAGCCCACCCCUCCCGAGCGUCCAACCCAACAACAGAACCACGGAUUUGACGCUUUGUAUUUAUCAAGAUAGUCUGUGAAGUGUUUACAUCAGAUGCGACUGGGUGACAGGCCCUAUCUGAGGCCGAGGAGCUCCGCUGUCAUGUUGAUUUAUGGGAGCAUCACGCCACAACUUGUCCAAACUGAAGCCCGCAGUUCAUUAAUUAGGGAGCUUCGACUUUGAAGUUGGGCGCUUCGACAGCGCGUGGACGUGUGAGUGUGUGCGUGUGGUGGUGGUGGUGGUGUGUGUGUGUGUGUGUGUGUGUGUGUGUGCGCGCGCGUGUGCGUGUGUGCGUGUGCGUCCGCUUUUUACACGGGGCUUCGUUUUCAACGCUUCUCCUGUUGUCCACAAAUUCAACCGCGAUGGGGACGGGAGGAGAACGAGAAGAAGAAGAAAUUCCCCGGUGGCUUUUGAACUUCUUCUGACCACGCGAUAAUAAUUUGCUUUGUCCACAGCGAUGCCUGCAUCCGCCAGUCAUUAACGCGCAUUAAACCGCUGCCUGAGAGCGAGCCAGGCCGGGGUGGAGGUAGCAAAGGGGAGAGGGAGCAGGAAAGAUGGAGAUGGAGAGAGAGGAGGAGAAAAACUCAAUGCAGGCAACAGAGCUGGGAGCUCUCUCCGCACUGAUAUCUCACAAUUACAUGCCUUCUCUUCCUCUGCCAUUUCCAUGUUAAUUACCCAGAAAAGCCUUUCAGAUUUAUACGCCGUCCCCCCUGCUGCCUUUUACGCUGUCCUACAUGGGGCUCACAGGGACGACCACAGAACUCUUGUUUACUUGAUAAAUAACAGAUCAAUGAAUGGAGGGAGCCGGUUCAGUCAAAUACUCCUUACAUUCUCAGACCAGUACCCGCCAGUUGUUCUCAUUUAUCCAGGAAAUCUGACAUGCUAAUCGUGCGUGCACUUGAUCCACCCCCCCACUCCCCUCUCUCCGCUCCGCUUCAACCACAGCCUGAAAGCAGAUGGGUUUGAGGGAGGGAGCGCACAACUUCCAUGCUGUGUCUGGCCAACAGGCUGGGUAAUGGCAGGCGCUGGGAAUGAUGUCAGCCUACCUCUUUGCUCUGCUUGCUGCCCGCAUGCUGCUGCUGUUGCUGCUGCUGUAGGAGCUGGAGGUGGAGCUGUUCCUGCUGCUUCUUGUAGAACUCUUGGAGUUGCUGCUGCAGGAGAAAGAGGAAGGCGACACGUGAGGGAAAGGCCACCAGUCAAACAGACUCAGCAGAGGGGCUGUGAGGGAAUUUGGUCUUUCAGGUCAAAGGUCAAAUAUUCACUAAUGCACCAAAAGACAAGGCUGUGAACACGAUUAAUGGCAGCUGUACAUUACCUGCUGUAACAUGAGGGCCUGCUGCUGCUGGAGAAGAACCUGGAGCUGCUGAGGGCUCAGGACUUGCUGCUGAAGGAUCUGCUGCAUCUGCUGAGGAGUUAUCACUUGAGGUGUCAUCAUAGCCACUGACACUGGAACCUGCACAGAGAAACCAAACACUUGCUUUGGACUGAAUGCUGGGGCCAAUUAUGAGCGAGGUGCGGAUCAUGCACGUUGAGUAAACAGUCAGUCACAUCCACCCUGACCUCCAACGGCAUUAGAUCUACUCUGCAUCUGCUGCGAUACUUCUUGGGGUUUCUGGUUUAUCAAAUAAAGCCGACUUCCCAUACCUGAGGGCUCCAAUGAUUGCACACGCACGACAUGUCACGCGAGAACACUUUUUAUACAGAUGCUGUCAACAGCGAUCUGUUAUUGUGAAGCUCCAGAGUGCCUGGAGGGGGAGCCAUAGAGAAGAACACACAGGCCUCUAACUAACUCCCAGUAGAAAGGUGUGAGUGCAUGACUCCUCAAAACAAGUGAUUUGUUGUGACACUAAAAAAAAAAAAAGCCCCCACA